GGUGGCUUUCGCCGCUGUAGGCGCAUGCUAUGAAAAAACUUAAUAUGAGAACAAACUGGGCAUCAUAUAGACUACUACUGGAGGAAGAUCAAGGAAAACUCAGACUAAAACACUAUGAGGAGAUACAACAAUAUGUGUCAUAUAGAUGGCAAUACCUGCAAGUAAGAAGUGUAUUUAAUCGGAUCUAAAAAAAGGUUUUGUGAAAGAGGAUUCUAAAUUGAGCACCACAAUAUUACAAAAUAAUAAGAAAAUAUUGUCUAAAGCAUAUAAUCUUUUACUUGAUUGGGAACUGAUGGAUGAAGAAGUGAAAGAAACUAUGAUCAAAUGGGCUAAAGACAUCGGGCAUACGAUAUACUUAGAGCAAUGGGAGAAAUUCUGGCGAGAGGAUAUAAUAUUUACUGCCUCUUAUACAAUUAAAGAAAAUUUUGUUAAAAUGUUCCACAGGUGGUAUUUAAACCAGUUAAGCUGGCCAAAAUCUAUAAAUUGAAAUCCAUCCUCUGUUGGAAAUGUGGCAAAGAAGCAGGAACAACAAUACACAUGUAGUGGGUUUGUGAGGAGAUUAAGAAAUUUUGGGAAAUAAUACAUCAGGAAUUAAAGAAAAGGUUGAAAAUCCCAGUUGUUAAAAAACCAGAUGCAUAUCUCCUAGGCUUGAUAGGGAAAGAUAUACCACAAGUGGAAAAAAGAUUUUUUCUAUAUGCAACUACGGCAGCCAGGGUAGUGAUUGCUUCUAAAUGGAAAUUUCAUUUCUUGCCCUCAAAAGAGGAGUGGAUUUUCAAAUUAAAUGAAUAUUUAGAACUGGCAAAGCUAACCACAAUCAUAAGAUAUCAGUCAAAUCAACUUCCUGGGAUGGUCGGGGGAAAUGCUCUGUUGCAGUAAAGAGCGCUCUCAGUCACAGGUACGGGCUAAAAGGACGGGGAAGUGAGGGCGACGCGAACCCUGAAGAGGUCUGAGAGGAGGUUCCAGACUGAAGAAAAUAGAUCCAAGCAGCGCAUAAAGGGGUUUUCUGCCGUUCCAGCACAAACAAGUGGAGGAAGGUGGAAGAACCUCAGCGCAGAAAGAUCGCACACCCGACCGUGAGACGCCCCUUUGACCCAAAUGAGAAAGCACCAGGCUGUUGCAAACUAAAACUGUAAAAUCAAGAGUACUCCUGAAGAAAUAAAUUAAUAACGUUGGCUUAAAAUAAAAGGAGUACGGACUAAUUUAAGAUUAUAAAGGACAGUAAAGCAAACUGAGAGGCGCUUCAGUGUUGAGACUUAACAAGUUGUGGAAAAUAAGCCUUGUAAAGAGGCAGAAAAUAAAAACAGAGACAUAUUGAACACCUGCUUCUACAGGAGGAUGCACUGUUGAGAGACAAAGAGCUGAAACAGCAAGCUGCAGCAACAGUGGUGACAACAAAGCAGUGGCCAUUGAGAAGGAGAUCAGCAUAAAACAGAGUGAACCAAAAGGAAGAAGAUGAAUAUGGGGUCUAAAAAAUACCAAAUUACACUGACAACUGGGUCAGGACUACAAGUGAGAAGACAAUCAACAGCUGAAACGGACCCCAACGCUGACAUAAAAGAUCUUAUAAUGGGGAUGGAAAAGAGCUUGAGUGAUAAGCUAGACAUAUUAGUUGGCAACAUCCAACAAAACUCAAAGCUAAUAAUAGAUGUAACAACACAAAUAAGUGACCUCUCACUUAAAAAUAAAGAACUUGACAAAUCUGUACAAGAACUCAAAAGUAAAACCACCAAACAAGAGGAAAUGACAAAGAAGUUGCAAAAUGAAAAUAAGGACAUUAAAAAAUCACAAGACUCAACAAAGGACGAAACAAGCGACUUAAAGAGAGCCCACGAAGAGAUACUUGACAUAUCGUUGUUGGAGAUGCGUCAGAAGGAGAUGGUUCUCCGCUUCCGAGGCGUCCCACAAACUCAUGAUGAGCAAAUUCAAGAGAAAUUAUCACACGAAAUUGCAAACUGGUUGGGAGUAAAGCAGAAGAGAUGCUAAUGGAUAUUGAUAAAAUUUUCAGGAUCAAAUCAGAAAGAUUGGACACUUAUAAAGGGCCAGGAGAUUGCUUAAUUUUUUUUCAAUUCAAGACUUCUAAAGGACAAAAUAUUACAACAAAAGGCCCAAGUGAAAUUAAUAAUAGAUGGCAGACCCAUCAAAGUAUUUAAGGAAAUCCCAAAAAGAAUUUUGAGAAAAAGGCAGAAUUAGUAACAGAUGCACUCAAGAAGAAUUCGAUUAGAUUCUGGUGGGAAUUUCCGGAGGGUAUCACUUUUAUAUACAAGGACAGAAGAAAAACUUUUAGAUCAGUGGACGAGUUGGGAAAAUUCUGGAGGAAGUACAAAAAAGAACUAACUGGCAAUUCAACGUUGGAGCGAGAAGAAGCAACACAGACACCUCAAGAAGGAUUAGAGAGACAAGUGGGUAUUAAGAGAGGGGGGAAGAGACUGGAAAAAACAGUAUCAAAAUUCACAAACUUCUGAGUUUUCCUUUCUUUUUAUUUAUUCAAUGAUACCAUUAUAGAUAACAAAUAAAGAUUAAUGAAUUUAAAAAUUA